UUAUAUUAUAUUAUGUUAUGUUCCCUCUUUUUUUUUUCUUUAUAUUAGUAUAAAUCUUCGAAUUUACUUUUGCAUUGGAUCAAGUAUAUUUGUGUUGAGUGUUGUGUUUCUCUAUCAAUUCUUCAACAACUACUCUGUUUUUUCUUUUAAUUUAUUUUUUAUUUAUUUAUUAGAAUGAAUAAAUGAAACGUUGACUUGAGAAAUAGAUGCAUUUAUAUUUUGUAUAGGCCAAAACAGUUGGCAUAGUUUGAAGUAAAAAUGGAGAGAGAAAGAGGUUUGGAUCAAACAGAGGUGGCGAAGGUUGGUGAUGAAAGCAAAAGCAAAAAUGGAACUGCCACCAAAACGGUGCCGUUUUACAAACUGUUCUCAUUUGCUGAUUCAGUAGACAAACUUUUGAUGAUCAUUGGUUCAAUUGGUGCCCUUGGCAAUGGUUUGUGCAUGCCUCUUAUGGCUAUCCUUUUCGGUGAACUCAUCGAUUCCUUCGGCCAAAAUCAAGACCCUACCCAAAUCAAACAAAUUGUUUCUGUUGUUUCUAAGGUAGCACUUAAGUUUGUUUACUUGGCUCUCGGGUGUGGUGUUGCCGCAUUCCUCCAGGUGUCUUGCUGGAUGAUCACUGGGGAAAGGCAGGCUUCUCGAAUCAGGAGUCUUUAUUUGAAAACAAUUUUAAGACAAGAUGUUGCUUUUUUCGACAAGGAAACUAAUACGGGAGAAGUUGUCGGGAGAAUGUCCGGUGAUACUGUACUAAUUCAAGAUGCCAUGGGCGAGAAGGUUGGGAAGUGUUUACAGCUGGUGUCGACAUUUUUGGGAGGGUUUGUAAUUGCAUUUACGAAAGGGUGGCUACUUACGCUCGUCAUGUUAUCAUCUAUUCCUUUGCUUGUUAUAUCUGGUGGUCUAAUGGCUGCUGCCUUAUCGAAGAUGGCUACUAGUGGUCAACAGGCUUAUGCUAAGGCUGCUAAUAUCGUCGAACAGACAAUUGGCUCCAUUCGAACCGUUGCGUCGUUUACUGGGGAGAAAAAAGCUGUGGCGGAUUACGAUAAGUCCCUAGUGAAAGCAUACAAGUCGGGUGUUAGCGAAGGGUGGGCAAGCGGUUUAGGAAUGGGUUGCGUUAUGUUCAUUAUAUUCAGCAGUUACGGUUUGGCUAUUUGGUUUGGUGCAAAGAUGAUCUUGGAGAAGGAUUAUACAGGUGGUGAUGUGCUCAGUGUCAUUGUUGCAGUCCUAACUGGUUCCAUGUCUCUUGGACAGGCAUCUCCUUGCAUGACAGCAUUUUCCGCGGGUCAAGCUGCGGCCUUCAAAAUGUUCGAAACUAUAAAUAGGAAACCUGAAAUAGAUUCGUACGAUACGAGUGGGAAGGUUCGGGAAGAUAUACGCGGGGACAUAGAAUUGCGAGACGUGCAUUUUAGUUAUCCAGCUAGACCCGACGAGCAUAUUUUCAGUGGCUUCUGUCUAUCAAUCCCGAGCGGUGUAACAGCCGCUUUGGUCGGACAGAGUGGGAGCGGCAAAUCAACCGUCAUAAGUUUGAUUGAAAGAUUUUACGACCCCCAGUCCGGUGAAGUUCUGAUCGACGGAAUCAAUCUGAAAGAUCUACAACUCAAAUGGAUAAGGUCAAAGAUCGGGCUCGUCAGCCAAGAGCCUGUACUUUUCACGGGUAGCAUUAAGGACAAUAUCGCAUACGGAAAAGACGGUGCUACCGAUGAAGAAAUCAGGGCGGCAGCAGAAAUGGCGAAUGCCGCUAAAUUCAUCGAUAAACUUCCGCACGGACUUGAUACGAAAGUCGGGGAACACGGUACUCAGCUUUCCGGUGGACAGAAACAGAGAGUUGCCAUAGCUAGAGCAAUUCUUAAAGAUCCUAGAAUAUUACUCUUGGAUGAAGCUACAAGUGCGCUGGAUUCUGAAUCGGAGAGAGUUGUCCAAGACGCAUUGGACAGGAUCAUGGUUAACAGAACAACCGUUGUUGUUGCACAUCGCUUAACCACGGUUAGGAAUGCCUCCAUGAUUGCUGUCAUUCACCAAGGAAAAGUGGUUGAAAAAGGCACUCAUUUGGAAUUACUCGAGGACCCGGAAGGGGCAUAUUCUCUGUUGAUACGCUUACAAGAAGAAAAUAGAGACGAAGGGCAUGAUGACGGUCACGAAAAAUUAGAAAAAUCAUCCGACAUAACUAUUUUGGAUUCGGGACGAUAUUCUUCAAGUAAAAAAAUGUCGUUCGUACGUUCAAUCAGCCAAGGGUCGUCCGGGAAAGGAAACAGCUUUCACCGAUCGUUGUCAAACAAGAUUGUUGGAGUGGCACCGGAUAUUUCUGAAUUAGAAAAGUCGGAAAAUGAAAAGCCUCCAAAAGUCCCUCUUCGUCGACUAGCCUAUCUCAACAAACCCGAGGUGCCGUUUCUAAUGGGUGGAGCUCUAUCCGCACUUGUCAACGGCGCAAUAAUGCCUACCUUCGGUAUACUAAUUGCCGGCGUCAUCAAAACGUUCUUCGAAACUCCAGAUAAACUACGUAAAGAUUCCAAGUUUUGGGCGAUAAUAUUUGUGGUUCUCGGAGCAAUUUCGUUAAUUGCGUAUCCAUCAAGAACGUAUCUAUUUGGGGUGGCGGGGAAUAGGCUGAUCAAGAGGAUUAGAUUGUUGUGCUUCGAGAAGGUCGUUAAUAUGGAGGUUGGUUGGUUCGAUGAGUCUGAGCACUCGAGUGGGUUUAUUGGAGCAAGGCUUUCUGCGGAUGCUGCUUCGGUUCGUGCUUUAGUUGGUGAUGCACUUGCACAAAUGGUUCAAGAUUUGUCAUCUGCAGUUGUUGGAUUGGCUAUUGCUUUUGAAGCUUGUUGGCAGUUAGCUCUCAUCGUCCUUGUUAUGAUACCUCUUAUCGGAUUGAACGGAUUUGUUCAGAUCAAGUUUAUGAAAGGGUUCAGCGCCGAUGCAAAGGCAAUGUACGAGGAAGCAAGCCAAGUGGCUAAUGAUGCGGUUGGGAGUAUAAGAACAGUUGCUUCGUUCUGCGCGGAAGAGAAGAUAAUGGAAAUAUACAAAAAGAAGUGUGAAGGUCCUAUGAGGAACGGGAUUAAUCAAGGGUUGAUUAGCGGGAUCGGGUUCGGUUCAUCCUUUGCACUGUUGUUUCUCGUCUAUGGUGCUAGCUUUUACUUUGGAGCUCGACUCGUUGAGGAUGGAAAAACUACUUUUUCUGAAGUGUUCCGGGUUUUCUUUGCUCUAACAAUGGCAGCAAUGGCAAUCUCUCAAUCAAGUGCUUUUGCACCAGAUUCAACCAAAGCUAAGAGCGCUGCUGCUUCAAUAUUCGCCAUUCUUGACAGAGAAUCUAAGAUCAAUCCAAGUGACGAAUCCGGGGAGAAAUUACAAAGUGUAAAGGGAGAAAUUGAACUAAAACACGUGAGCUUCAAGUAUCCAACUAGGCCCAAUGUCCAAAUUCUACGCGACUUUUCCUUGAAAAUUCACAGUGGCAAGACGGUUGCUUUGGUUGGAGAGAGCGGAUGUGGGAAAUCAACAGUGAUAUCUUUAUUGCAAAGAUUUUAUGAUCCAGAAUCGGGGCACGUGACACUUGACGGUGUCGAGAUUCAAAAAUUCCAAUUGAAAUGGCUUAGGCAGCAGAUGGGAUUAGUCAGCCAAGAGCCGAUCUUGUUUAACGACACAAUCCGUGCCAACAUUGCUUACGGUAAAGAAGGAGACGUAACAGAGGCCGAAAUCAUAGCUGCAGCCGAGCUAGCAAACGCCCAUAAAUUCAUUAGUGGAUUGCAGCAGGGCUACGAUACGGUGGUCGGAGAAAGAGGGGUGCAAUUGUCGGGGGGACAAAAGCAAAGAGUGGCAAUUGCAAGGGCUAUAAUGAAAAGUCCGAAAAUACUAUUGUUGGAUGAGGCAACGAGCGCAUUGGAUGCUGAAUCCGAGAGGAUAGUACAAGAUGCACUUGAUAGAGCAACUAUGAAUCGGACAACGGUUGUGGUGGCUCAUAGGGGGGUCGGGCAAUCAAAGCAGCUGAUGUUAUUGCUGUCGUUAAAAACGGAGCAAUUGUCGAGAAAGGGAAGCACGACACGCUAAUCAAUAUCAAAGAUGGGUUUUAUGCAUCCUUACUCUCACUUCAUACAACCACUUCAACAUGAGAAAUGCGUUACGCAUUUGUUUAUUUUUGGACGAGUUCAUUUAGUUUGCCAUCUUUUUUUUUUGUCGUGUUAUUUGUAGUUAUAACUAUACCGUUUUGCUUCUUGAUAAUAAAAUUAUUUGUGCUAUACCCCAUCA